UGUAUUUAUUAGAUAAAAAACCAAUGCCCUUCGGGGCUUUUUGGUGAUUCAUGAUAACUUUACGGAUCGCAUAGCCUUGCGCUGGCGACGGUUCAUUCAAAUUUCUGCCCUAUCAACUUUCGAUGGUAAGGUAUUGGCUUACCAUGGUUUCAACGGGUAACGGGGAAUUAGGGUUCGAUUCCGGAGAGGGAGCCUGAGAAACGGCUACCACAUCCAAGGAAGGCAGCAGGCGCGCAAAUUACCCAAUCCCGACACGGGGAGGUAGUGACAAUAAAUACUGAUACAGGGCUCUUUUGGGUCUUGUAAUUGGAAUGAGUACAAUUUAAACCUCUUAACGAGGAACAAUUGGAGGGCAAGUCUGGUGCCAGCAGCCGCGGUAAUUCCAGCUCCAAUAGCGUAUAUUAAAGUUGUUGCAGUUAAAAAGCUCGUAGUUGAAACUUGGGCCUGGCUGGCGGGUCCGCCUCACCGCGUGCACUCGUCCGGCCGGGCCUUCCUUCUGAAGAACCUCAUGCCCCUCACUGGGCGUGUUGGGGAACCAGG
rnacentral:rRNA from 1 species